AUUGAACGCUGGCGGCAGGCCUAACACAUGCAAGUCGAACGAGUGGCGGACGGGUGAGUAAUGUCUGGGAAAGUGCCUGAUGGAGGGGGAUAACUACUGGAAACGGUAGCUAAUACCGCAUACAAUCAGAUGUGCCCAGAUGGGAUUAGCUAGUUGGUGGGGUAACGGCUCACCAAGGCGACGAUCCCUAGCUGGUCUGAGAGGAUGACCAGCCACACUGGAACUGGUGCCCGGGCCAGACUCCUACGGGAGGGAGCAGUGGGGAAUAUGGCACAAUGGGCGCAAGCCUGAUGCAGCCAUGCCGCGGGGAUGAAGAAGGCCUUCGGGUUGUAAAGUACGUUCAGCGGGGAGGCGUUAACCGCAGAAGAAGGACCGGCUAACUCCGUGCCAGCCGCCGCGGUAAUUC
rnacentral:rRNA from 1 species